UUAGAGCAUUGAGAGGACCUUUCCCUAGUACGAGAGGACCGGGAAGGACGCACCUCUGGUGUACCAGUUAUCGUGCCUACGGUAAACGCUGGGUAGCCAAGUGCGGAGAGGAUAACUGCUGAAAGCAUAUAAGUAGUAAGCCCACCCCAAGAUGAGUGCUCUCUCCUCCGACUUCCCUAGAGCCUCCGGUAUCACAGCCAAGACAGCGACGGGUUCUCCACCCAUACGGGGAUGGAGCGACAGAAGUAUGGAAAUAGGAUAAGGUAGCGGCGAGACGAGCCGUUUAAAUAGGUGUCAAGUGGAAGUGCAGUGAUGUAUGCAGCUGAGGNUCCGGUGUGGGCGUUAGA
rnacentral:ncRNA from 1 species